CUCAAUUGCUCCAGUUCAUCAUCUCUCACUACAUCUCUAAGCUUCAAGCAUUUUGCUGCUUAGCUCCAGCCCAGUACAUAUCCUACACCAUCUUGUUGCUCAGCUCUAGCUCACUACGUCCAUACGCUCUAUACCGUAAAACUUUAAGAAUCUGCGUGUGUAAAUUUUGCUCAACCUCCGGCCUUACCCUUUAACCACCCAUCUUCCAGACUUCUAGCUAAACCCUCAAUUAAUCAGCUACCAACCACGAAACACCAGCCUUACGAAGAUCCAAAAGGAUAAAAAAUAAAAUCAUUAAAAAAUAA